rnacentral:rRNA from 1 species
AAGGCCUUCGGGUUGUAAAGCACUUUUGUCCGGAAAGAAAUCCUUGGNUCUAAUACAGUCGGGGGAUGACGGUACCGGAAGAAUAAGCACCGGCUAACUACGUGCCAGCAGCCGCGGUAAUACGUAGGGUGCGAGCGUUAAUCGGAAUUACUGGGCGUAAAGCGUGCGCAGGCGGUUUGCUAAGACCGAUGUGAAAUCCCCGGGCUCAACCUGGGAACUGCAUUGGUGACUGGCAGGCUAGAGUAUGGCANAGGGGGGUAGAAUUCCACGUGUAGCANUGAAAUGCGUANAGAUGUGGAGGAAUACCGAUGGCGAAGGCAGCCCCCUGGGCCAAUACUGACGCUCAUGCACGAAAGCGUGGGGAGCAAACAGGAUUAGAUACCCUGGUAGUCCACGCCCUAAACGAUGUCAACUAGUUGUUGGGGAUUCAUUUCCUUAGUAACGUAGCUAACGCGUGAAGUUGACCGCCUGGGGAGUACGGUCGCAAGAUUAAAACU